rnacentral:misc_RNA from 1 species
CUCCUCUUCGAUCCAAUACCUUUCCAAAAUCUUCACAGCCUUUUCAUAAAUCUCAUGGUUGUCGUGGCUCUGCAGAUUCUCAAUUUUAUCUAAUCCAUCACAGUCAUCUAUUAUCUGUGCGUAAAUAUUGAUUGUGGUGUUGCCUGAUUCCUUCUCAAUCUCCCCAAUCUUCAGAAUAUUCUCUAGACCCUCAAGGCACACUGUCACAAUUCUUGGAUCAGGACAAACCAGAAGAUCACAAAGCGGCUUAACACAACCUUGGCUCACCAGGUGUUGAAUCUGUUCUCGUGAUCCCCCAGAAGUGGCAUUUGAAAUUGCCCAUGAUGCCUCCUUCUUGACUUCAAAUUCAGCAUGUUGUAGCAGAUGUACAAGAGGAGCAAUGAUAUUUGCUUCAAUUACAGCCUGUA